UAAGGACUCAAGUAUGGGAGUGAGGAGAAAAAAAAAAAGACAAUUCACAAAUCAGGCAGUCCCUAGAAUCACAGCAGAUUCAGAGCAACACCAGAGAUGCUAUGUGGUCGGAAAAAACCUUAUGAAUAGAAAAAGGAAAGUGACAUGCAGAAAACCAAAGUGAGGUACAGAAAUAGCCAAAUUGGUUACAGCAUGGUGUUUGCCUUAUUUGAACAUGGUUUGAACAAUAGGCUGCCUGUGAGUACUGAAGUAUGGCUGCUGAGAUUGGCUGAGGCUCAGUUAUUGCUACAGAAGCAUCCUUCUAAGUUAGGUUUUCAGUCGUCCUACCUACAAAGUUAGGUUAUGGUUCAUCCUUAAGGACUCAAGUAUGGGAGUGAGGAGGCUUUCUCAGGCCAGAUUUUAGUUUGAUUUAAUAGUUCCAAAUUUAAGUCAGUCCUUUGCUCCAAUAUCUGAUCAUAGGCUAUUAGAAGCAGCCAGGCCAUUUCUUGAAUGCUUUGCUGCUUAGACAUUUCUUCUACCAGAUACCCUAAGUCAUUACUCUUAAGUUCAGCCUUCCACAAAGCCCUAGGACAUAGAUACAAUGCAGCCAAGUUCUUUGCUAGGGCAUAACAAGGGUGAUCUUUGCUCCAGUUCCCCAUAACUUCCUCAUUUCCAUCUGAGACCUCAUCAGGCUGGCCUUUACUGUACAUAUUUCUGUCCACAUUUUGGUUACAACGACAUUACAAAUCUCUAAGAAGGUCCAAACCUUUUCUCAUCUGUCUUCUGGGCCCUCCAGACUCUUUCCAACCGCUGCCUCAUACCCAGUUCCAAAGCCACUUCCACAUUUUCGGAUAUCUUUAUAGCAACGCCCUACACCUCCGUACCAACUUUCUGUGAUAGUCUAUUUUGCAUUGCUAUAAAGAAAUAUCUGAGACUGGGUAAUUUAUAAUGUAAAGAGGUUUAUUUGACUCACAGUUUUUCAGGCUGUACAAGAAUCACACUGCUGGCAUGUGCCUCUGGUGAGGGUCUCAGGAAGCUUUUACUCAUGGGGAAGGGUGAAGGGGGAGCAGUUGUGUCACAUGGCAAGAGAGGGAACCAGAGAGAUGCCAC
rnacentral:lncRNA from 10 species